AUCCUGGAGAGAUUUGGGAGUGCUCGAAAGAGAGCCUGAACACAGGUGCUGCAUGGCUGUCGUCAGCUCGUGUCGUGAGAUGUUGGGUUAAGUCCCGCAACGAGCGCAACCCUUGUCAUUAAUUGCCAUCAUUCAGUUGGGCACUUUAAUGAGACUGCCGGUGACAAACCGGAGGAAGGUGGGGAUGACGUCAAGUCCUCAUGGCCCUUAUGGGUAGGGCUUCACACGUCAUACAAUGGUCGGUUCAGAGGGUUGCCAACCCGCGAGGGGGAGCCAAUCUCAGAAAGCCGAUCGUAGUCCGGAUCGCAGUCUGCAACUCGACUGCGUGAAGUCGGAAUCGCUAGUAAUCGCGGAUCAGCAUGUCGCGGUGAAUACGUUCCCGGGUCUUGUACACACCGCCCGUCACACCAUGGGAGCGGGUUCUGCCAGAAGUAGUUAGCCUAACCGCAAGGAGGGCGAUUACCACGGCAGGGUUCGUGACUGGGGUGAAGUCGUAACAAGGUAGCCGUAGGGGAACCUGCGGCUGGAUCACCUCCUUUCU
rnacentral:rRNA from 1 species